CAUCCGGUAUAUUCUGGGAUAAUGACAGUUUGGCGACGUUGUUGGCAAAAGAACUGGAUGCUGAUCGUCUUAUCAUGCUUAGUGAUGUGGAGGGACUCUAUAGUGGUGGUUUUCGUUCCUGACGACAAUGACCGUGUGGAUCUGGGCUAGCAGGAUUGCUUGGGUCUUUAGUUUGAUGCGACUAAGAGGGCAGCCUGCAGUUCUCUGGCGUGUGGGAGCUCUGUUUCGGCUUGGCCUAGCGACGUUGCAGUGCGGAUGCGUGCUGCAUGCAAUUUACUUGGUCUGGUGGAAGCAAAAUUUGUGUACUUAUUUUUUAGUGUUAUCCCUUGGUUUGUUGUUUUGCCUCCGAAAAUGUGGUGUGGUUCACUUGUCCUGGCGAGACAAUUCUCAAUGUACUUUGCACCAUAGAAAAUCAAACAAAAAGAGUGACAAGUAACAACCCAAAGAAUGAAAAAGUGAUGCAGUUA